AGACCACAGCACCAAGCGCACCCCAGGCCAGGUCACCAGGCGGCUCCAUUCGAACAGAAAGAGGAAGCAGGGUCUCGGGUCCUGCAAAAGCCCCCAAAAUCUUCAGCGAUGAGACAGAUGCUGGCCCACAACCCACACGGCUGCACAGAGGUGACAGGGAAAGGAAAUUACACCUGUGAUGGUAGGAGGGAAAUGCUAGACUGCUCUUGAGCAAAAUGCCGCCUCUUCCGAGAAGUCCCCCUGGCUUCACAGCUCUUCAACCCUGGCCCCUCCCUCCUACUCCAAGAUACUCUGGGACAGGACCUGUGUUUUUACCUUUUAUUUUCUUCAGGACCUCACCACCAUCACUCCCAGCCCUCCCUAGUUCCUGGCACAGACUAUACUUCUGCCAGAGGGUGUGGGGCAGAGGCUGACCAGCAGGCCUCCUUCUGCCCCACGGCCACCCCUGCCCGACCUUCCAGCACCGUCUCCAGCUAGACUUUCCAGGAGCUGGACAGACAGAGGCGCCUCCCAGCACCUCUGCGUCCUUGUCUGAGAACACGGGGUGAGGGGAGAGAACCCGUGCCCAGCAGCCACUGCGGGAUUAAACAUGGAGAGGCAGGUGUGGGGCCGCCGUGGGCACCCAAGGGGAGCAGUUCCUGUCACCGUCACUGUCGUCACCAUCAUCACCAUCAUUGCCGUCGUUGUGGUUUUGCCUAGUAGCUGCCCAUGAGCCAUCACAGUCUCACCUCUCUCCCAGUGGCUGCCUGUUCCAGGCCUGGGCAGAAGCCAGGGGACCUGAGGAGUGGCCGUCUCUGUCUUCCAGGCCCGGACAGCCUCAGAGGGCAAGCGGAAGGGUCGACUCUCACGCAGGGGAGAACUCGGAAAUCCCCCGGGAUCCACCCAGGGACUCAGAGAGGAGGAGGGUCUGGUGGAGCCACAGGGUCGUCAGGAGGGCUUCCUGGAGGGGGCAGAACUGGAAGAGAGGGCAGAGAUUAAACCCACUCUGACAAGACAAUCGCCCUAGGACAAAGGAAUCUUAAAAGCCUCAGGGCACCUCCAGGAGAGAGAGAGACUCCAGCCCCAGGACAGCAGCACAGGCCUCCUGGGGUGAACAGUGGCAGCUGACAGAGGAAUCCAGGCCCACGGACUUGGGGAGGAAGAAGGGUCUCCUGAGCUGAUACCCAGGACAGAGCCACAGCCUGGAAGUCACGUUCCUUAAUUUCACUUCAUCUUGUAAAUAAAGCUGCAGUUUAGGGCUCCACAUUUUUUAGGCAAAAAAAAAAAAAAGAAAGAAAGAAAGAAAGAAAUCUGACCAGGGGCAGUGGCUCUCGCCUGUAAUCCCAACACUUUGGGAGGCCAAGGUGGGUGCAUCACCUGAGGUCAGGAGUUCAAGACCAGCUUGACCAACAUGGUGAAACCCCAUCUCUACUAAAAAUGCAAAAAAUUAGCUGGGCAUG